UACGAAGGGUGCAAACGUUGCUCGGAAUCAUUGGGCGUAAAGCGCACGUAGGCGGCCUCGAAAGUCGGAUGUGAAAUCCCAUGGCUCAACCAUGGACGUGCACUCGAAACUGUGAGGCUUGAGUACUGAAGAGGAUCGCGGAAUUCCCGGUGUAGAGGUGAAAUUCGUAGAUAUCGGGAGGAACACCAGUGGCGAAGGCGGCGAUCUGGGCAGAUACUGACGCUGAGGUGCGAAAGCGUGGGGAGCAAACAGG
rnacentral:rRNA from 1 species